CGCCUCCACUCACCGAGUCACUACUUCACAUGGAAACAUUAAUUAGAACCUGUUAACCGUUUAAAGCUCCUGCAGGUUUAUUUUCAGGUUUAACACUAAAAUCAGCGUCUAAAAAACCAUUUCAACUAUCAAAAACACUCCUGCUUCUGGUCAAACGGACAUAUAAUGUUACCGUGUCCAUGUGGACAUGCAGCGGUACCAGUUGCCAGGUUAUGAGCUCCAGCUUCUUGCAGAGCUGCAGAGACAACAGAACCAUGCCCAGUUCUGUGACACCAUGCUGCAGACGGAGGGUAUCUCCGUCCCGACCCACAGCUGCGUCCUUGCAGCCCUCAGCCCCUACCUGUCCCACAAGCUGUCCUCCUCCCCGUCUCCUCCGUCGGGACAGAAGCGCCAGCUGCAGCUGCAGGCGG